UACGAAGGUCCCGAGCGUUGUUCGGAAUCACUGGGCGUAAAGGGCUCGUAGGCGGUUUGUCGCGUCGGGAGUGAAAACGCCGUGCUUAACACGGCGCUUGCUUUCGAUACGGGCAGACUAGAGGUAUGCAGGGGAGAACGGAAUUCCUGGUGUAGCGGUGAAAUGCGCAGAUAUCAGGAGGAACACCGGUGGCGAAGGCGGUUCUCUGGGCAUUACCUGACGCUGAGGAGCGAAAGUGUGGGGAGCGAACAGG
rnacentral:rRNA from 1 species